rnacentral:rRNA from 1 species
UACGUAGGGGCCAAGCGUUGUCCGGAUUUAUUGGGCGUAAAGAGCUCGUAGGCGGUUCGACAAGUCGGGUGUGAAAACUCCGGGCUCAACCCGGAGACGCCACCCGAUACUGUCGUGACUGGAGUCCGGUAGGGGAGUGGGGAAUUCCUGGUGUAGCGGUGAAAUGCGCAGAUAUCAGGAGGAACACCGGUGGCGAAGGCGGUUCUCUGGGACGGUACUGACGCUGAGACGCGAAAGCGUGGGGAGCGAACAGG